UGGCCAAUAGCUCAGUCGGUAGAGCAAGUGGCUGUUAACCACUGGGUCGGGGGUUCAAGUCCCUCUUGGCCAGCCA
rnacentral:tRNA from 1 species